rnacentral:rRNA from 1 species
GACGAACGCUGGCGGCGUGCUUAACACAUGCAAGUCGAACGGUGAAGCGCUUGCCUUUUUGGUGGGUGUGGAUGAGUGGCGAACGGGUGAGUAACACGUGAGUAACCUGCCCUCUUCUUCUGGAUAACCUCAUGAAAGUGGGGCUAAUACGGGGUAUUCCGGGUCUGUCGCAUGGCGGGUUUGGGAAAGAUUGCGCCUUUGGGUGUUUUCGGUGGGGGAUGGGCUCGCGGCCUAUCAGCUUGUUGGUGGGGUGAUGGCCUACCAAGGCGGUGACGGGUAGCCGGCCUGAGAGGGUGGACGGCCACACUGGGACUGAGACACGGCCCAGACUCCUGCGGGAGGCAGCAGUGGGGAAUAUUGCACAAUGGGCGCAAGCCUGAUGCAGCGACGCCGCGUGAGGGAUGGAGGCCUUCGGGUUGUGAACCUCUUUCGCCAGUGAGGCAGGCCUGCUCCUGUGUGGGUGGGUUGACGGUAGCUGGAUAAGAAGCGCCGGCUAACUACGUG